UUAAAUUGAAGAGUUUGAUCAUGGCUCAGAUUGAACGCUGGCGGCAGGCCUAACACAUGCAAGUCGAACGGUAGUGG
rnacentral:rRNA from 1 species